UGGUAAAUCCUUGGGUAAAUCGGGCAGCUUAACUGUCCGAAGUCCGGGGAGACUGCCAGGCUUGGGACCGGGAGAGGUCAGAGGUACUUCCGGGGUAGGGGUAAAAUCCUGUAAUCCUGGAAGGACCACCGGUGGCGAAGGCGUCUGACUAGAACGGAUCCGACGGUGAGGGACGAAGCCCUGGGGCGCAAACGGGAUUAGAUACCCCGGUAGUCCAGGGUGUAAACGCUGCGGGCUUGGUGUUGGGAGUCCUUCGAGGGCGCCCAGUGCCGGAGAGAAGUUGUUAAGCCUGCUGCUUGGGGAGUACGUCCGCAAGGAUG
rnacentral:rRNA from 1 species